rnacentral:rRNA from 1 species
GAUUAACGCUGGCGGCGUGCAUGAAACAUGCAAGUCGAGCGCGGUACAUAGCUUGCUAUGUAUCUAGCGGCGCACGGGUGAGUAACACGUGAGCAAUCUACCUUUGAGUUCGGGAUAGCCCUGAGAAAUCAGGAUUAAUACCGGAUGUGGUUGCAGAGAGACAUCUCUUUGUAAGUAAAGGCGCAAGCCGCUCAAUGAUGAGCUCGCGGCUUAUUAGCUUGUUGGUGGGGUAAUGGCCUACCAAGGCGAUGAUGAGUAGCUGGUCUGAGAGGGACGGUCAGCCACACUGGGACUGAGACACGGCCCAGACUCCUACGGGAGGCAGCAGUUAGGUAAUUUUCCGCAAUGGACGAAAGUCUGACGGAGCAACGCCGCGUGAGUGAUG